ACCCGCUGAACUUAAGCAUAUCAAUAAGCGGAGGAAAAGAAACCAACAGGGAUUGCCCUAGUAACGGCGAGUGAAGCGGCAACAGCUCAAAUUUGAAAUCUGGCGCAAGCCCGAGUUGUAAUUUGUAGAGGAUGCUUCUAGGUAGCGACCGGUCUAAGUUCCUUGGAACAGGACGUCAUAGAGGGUGAGAAUCCCGUAUGUGACUGGCCCGCACCUUCUACGUAGCUCCUUCGACGAGUCGAGUUGUUUGGGAAUGCAGCUCUAAAUGGGAGGUAAAUUUCUUCGAAAGCUAAAUACCGGCCAGAGACCGAUAGCGCACAAGUAGAGUGAUCGAAAGAUGAAAAGCACUUUGGAAAGAGAGUUAAAAGGCACGUGAAAUUGUUGAAAGGGAAGCGCUCACAACCAGACUUCUAGGCAGUGUUCCGCCGGUCUUUUGACCGGUCUACUCUCUGUCUCGAGGCCAACAUCAUCUGGGACCGCCGGAUAAGACCUUAGGAAUGUAGCUCCCCUCGGGGAGUGUUAUAGCCUCUGGUGAUGCGGCGCGUCUCGGGUGAGGUCCGCGCUUCGGCAAGGAUGUUGGCGUAAUGGUUGUCAGCGGCCCGUCUUGAAACACGGACCAAGGAGUCUAACAUCUAUGCGAGUGUUCGGGUGUCAAACCCCUACGCGUAAUGAAAGUGAACGGAGGUGGGAAGCGUAAGCUGCACCAUCGACCGAUCCUGAUGUCCUCGGAUGGAUUUGAGUAAGAGCAUAGCUGUUGGGACCCGAAAGAUGGUGAACUAUGCCUGAAUAGGGUGAAGCCAGAGGAAACUCUGGUGGAGGCUCGCAGCGGUUCUGACGUGCAAAUCGAUCGUCAAAUUUGGGUAUAGGGGCGAAAGACUAAUCGAACCAUCUAGUAGCUGGUUCCUGCCGAAGUUUCCCUCA
rnacentral:rRNA from 1 species